UGUCCUACGGUAGGCAGCAGUGGGGAAUAUUGCACAAUGGGGGAAACCCUGAUGCAGCGACGCCGCGUGGGUGAAGAAGUACUUCGGUACGUAAAGCCCUAUCAGCAGGGAAGAAAAUGACGGUACCUGAUUAAGAAGCCCCGGCUAACUACGUGCCAGCAGCCGCGGUAAUACGUAGGGGGCAAGCGUUAUCCGGAUUUACUGGGUGUAAAGGGAGCGUAGACGGCGAAGAAAGUCUGAAGUGAAAGCCCGCGGCUCAACCGCGGAAUGGCUUUGGAAACUUUUUUGCUGGAGUACCGGAGAGG
rnacentral:rRNA from 1 species